CCCUCCCCCACUCACGCUCUGUCUCUCUCUUCUCUCUCUCUCAAAUAAACUUUAAAAAAAGAAAAAGAAAUCCACGUUACGUCUCCCUCACACCUGUGCUUGCGGAGUAAAAUCAGAUUUUGCUGGAGUAACAAUUUCAUCCGGAAAUCUCAGUAGUGGGUUUAGCCCAACGAAGCCGUCUCUCUCACUCACGUGCCUACUUGUUUAAUGAAGGUCACAGCACGACUCAGGGACCCGGCUUUAGGGACACACCGAGAUCCCAGUGAGUGGCCUUCGAGGUCAUCACGGGGAGAAAAGAGAGGCACCGGCUGUUAAGGUCUUUGGCCGGGAAGUGACAUAGUCACCCCAACUCCCAUACCAUGGGCUAGAACCAGUCACAGGGCCGCCGCCUGGCUGCAAGGGGGCCGGGACACAAGGGGAACACGGGGAUUUUGAUGCCUCUGCCGCAGUCUCACGGUACUUAGUUCACAUAGGAUGACUUUUUUUUUUUUUUAACGCUCUCAACUUGCGUUUGUGUAGAGCUUAUUAACAAAUGCAUCCGGGGGGUUCUUUGCAUGGAUUAUAUCUAGUUCCCUCAAGCCCUGUGACUACGUCAUCCCUCCCGUCUCCAGAAGAGGAAAUGAAGGAAACAGCACGGGAAAUGGAAAGAGGGGCCGAACAGCCAGGCCUUCUGACCUGAGCCUUUUCUGUUCUUCCACCAAAGCCUGAAAUCAGAAUGUGGGGGAGACAGCCUAUCAGUAACCGAUGUGCCCCCUGAUGAUAAAAGCAACAUUUCUUGGUGUAAAAAUAAAAAAACAGAGGGUGCGGAGAAAGCGAUGCUCCGUCAAGGGUUUAUUUAGGUUCCUGCCAGGGCCUCGGUAAAGACAGGGAGAGGGCGUGGGGGAGACCGCGAAACACGCUGAUCUGUUCGCCAGCGGGAAAGCAGGGACUGUAUCGAGAUUUGAGUGAGCUUUUGCAGAAUGGGUGGAUUUCACAACACAAACUCGUGUCUAUCCGGUUGAAAUGCAAUCACUUCCUCCUCUCGGAGCUGGCUUCAUGCUGUGUUGCAACAGAUCUCUUGUUUUCGCGGGGGGGGGCCACCUGGAUUCCCAAGCCCAUCCUGACCUCAUGGGGUCACCGCUCUGGCUCAGGGGUUGAGUAAGACCUAGCCAGGGUGACAGGGGCUUCUGAGCUGGAGGGGAGCCCAAGGGGAGGAGGCCUGAAUCGGAACGGGCGUUUCAGGACCCAUCCCAGGCACGGGAACCGUGUGGACAGACCUCCGUUCUGAUGAGCAAAAAUCAGGUACAGGAACCAGUGAUCCGAAAGGGGUCUACGAGUCGGAACAAUGAAAUUCCGUCUAAAAUCAGUGUUGCCGUCACGACUUCCUUAAAGGCACGGGGACCAGAUGACUUGUCCCGGGUCACACGGCUACAAAGCGGCAGGGCUGUGAUGAAACCCAAGCCUGGAAUCAGAACGGGGGCCCAGUCUCCAAAAACAGUCACAUCCUGAGGUGCGCUGCAGACCUUGAAGAAGAAAUCUUGGUCAAAGAUGUGCUGUGCCUGGGAAACAGAGCAGCAAGGAGCCUUCAGGGACCAGAGGUUCACUCUCUUCAAUCCAAAGGAAGGGAGUCCUGAAGAAGCGAACUCUGGAGCCUUCCUUGGCCCUGCACGGUGGAAAAGGCAUGCGGGCUUCAUAUUCAUCAGGGCACUCUCUCGCUUAAGCAUUCCCCUAGGCUUUCGCUUCAGGACCAAAGUAACAUGAAGAACCCGAAGGCGGCAAAAAUGUGCACACUGUGGGGCUACGUUUGCCAAAGAGCCAGUGACUUUGGUCAAAGUCCCCUCACGUCUCAAAUCUUCAACAGAUGUGCGGACAAUUUUCUAAGGGCAAAAUUUCCUCGUCCAUCGAUCCGGCCGCCCACGUUAUGGACGAAAGAAAGGUAAUGCUGAAAAUGACAGUGUCUGAGGAGCCAUCUCCAAGUGCCUUUUUAUUACGCACAAUUAGCCAUGAAAUGGAGAACCACUUCCUUUCUAAUAUGAAAUCGUCAGCCAUGGAGUUGCAGUUGAAAUUCACCACAGUGAUUUCAGCCAAUAGCUGAAAUCUCCAUUUUGUGUCUUUUUUACUUUCUGAAAGCCCUCUCUCGGUCCUAGCACCACAGAAUAACGAGCAAACAGUUAAACUGGGCUUGCACUGAGUUUCCACGGCGAUUUAUGGUCUACCCAUCCUCCACAGGGACUCUGAAGCCAUCCGAUGACAUCUCCUUUUGAAAUCUCUUGCAUUAAGGAAAGGGAUGGGUGUGGUACAUAAGUGAACUCUGGAUGUGAGUGAUAUUUAGACAAGUCUGUACUUCAAAACAGAGCUCUAACUCAUUUAACGUCCUCGGUCAUUACCUGGGGAUCUCAGUAUCCACCACUCAGCCUUCUCCAAACCACCCCCCCACCCCCCACAUCCCCCGCACCUUUUUACAAAUAUAUCUUUCUAAAUUUAAACCUAAAUAUGUUUGGUUUUUUUUUCCCCCUCUGCAUUUUGCUUUGGAUCUUAAAAAUUCCCAGGUAGAUUUUUAUCUCUGUGCAUAAAAGCAUCAAGCCUGGAACCAAGUCUGCCCAAAUCACCACAACACUAAAACCGCCUUCAGGUUCUAGCACUCACCAGAGGGACAAGACACGUUUUAAACAGAACCGAUCAGGGCACCAACCACUUAGCUUUCUGCCCCAGCUGACCUCUUGUGAUCUCUGACCUGGGCAUUGGAGUAAGUUAAGAGAAUGAGCUGGGUUUUCAGGGAGUAGCAUUGCUUUCUGGAAGGCACCCAGGUCUACAGCUAAGUGCGGAAUUCGAACCAGCUCUGGAGUUGGCUCUGUCUGGGAACCUAUUCUGGAUCGCCCAACUCCAGCGGCGGCUUCCCACAUCGGGGCGAGGAUUGAAGGAGGCGGGUAGCCGGCCAGGGAACACAAGUGGGGCUAAGGAGUGAACCAGGAGCCCAAGGGGAGGGGCUCGGAGCAUUUCCUGGCGGGGCUGCAGCACAGAAACUUUUCCUCCCGCUGAGAUGCGCUCGGGGCUGAGCUCUGCCGCCCGCAACGGCUGGUGGGGUCCGGGCAGGGCACACCCGCCGCGCCCGGGCGGAGCCGGAGCGCUGGGCGAAGCCGCGGCGGGCCGGGGCGGGGGGCGCGGCGGGGCCGGGCAGUGCGCGCGGCGGGCGCCUCGCGCCCGGGGUCCUCACCUGUUC